rnacentral:rRNA from 1 species
CUAGCCGUUGGGGCCUUGAGGCUUUAGUGGCGCAGCUAACGCGAUAAGUAGACCGCCUGGGGAGUACGGUCGCAAGACUAAACUCAAUGAAUUGACGGGGGCCCGCACAAGCGGUGGAGCAUGUGGUUUAAUCGAUGCAACGCGAAGACCUUACCUGGCCUUGCAUAGUAAGACUUUCCAGAGAUGGAUUGGUGCCUUCGGGACUUACAUACAGGUGCUGCAUGGCUGUCGUCAGCUCGUGUCGUGAGAUGUUGGGUUAAGUCCCGCAACGAGCGCAACCCUUUCCUAUUUGCCAGCGAGUAAUGUCGGGAACUUAAGGAUACUGCCAGUGACAAACUGGAGGAAGGCGGGGACGACGUCAAGUCAUCAUGGCCCUUACGGCCAGGCUACACACGUGCUACAAUGGUCGGUACAAAGGGUUGCUACCUAGCGAUAGGAUGCUAAUCUCAAAGCCGAUCUAGUCCGGAUUGGAGUCUGCAACUCGACUCCAUGAAGUCGGAAUCGCUAGUAUCGCGGACAGAAUGCCGCGGUGAAUACGUUCCCGGCCUUGUACACACCGCCGCACACAUGGAGUUUGUGCACCAGAGUAGCUAGCUAACUGCAAAGAG